UACGUAGGGGGCAAGCGUUGUCCGGAUUUAUUGGGCGUAAAGAGCGUGUAGGCGGCUUUACAGGUCCGUUGUGAAAACUCGAGGCUCAACCUCGAGACGCCGGUGGAAACCGUAAAGCUAGAGUCCGGAAGAGGAGAGUGGAAUUCCUGGUGUAGCGGUGAAAUGCGCAGAUAUCAGGAGGAACACCGGUGGCGAAGGCGGUUCUCUGGGCAUUACCUGACGCUGAGGAGCGAAAGUGUGGGGAGCGAACAGG
rnacentral:rRNA from 1 species